rnacentral:rRNA from 1 species
UGAGGAAUAUUGGUCAAUGGGCGGAAGCCUGAACCAGCCAAGUAGCGUGCAGGAUGACGGCCCUAUGGGUUGUAAACUGCUUUUGAAGGGGAGUAAAGUGAGUGACUUGUCAUUCAUUGCAAGUACCCUUGGAAUAAGGACCGGCUAAUUCCGUGCCCG